UACGAAGGGGGCAAGCGUUGUUCGGAAUCACUGGGCGUAAAGCGCACGUAGGCGGAUUGUUAAGUUAGGGGUGAAAUCCCGGGGCUCAACCUCGGAACUGCCUCUGAUACUGGCAAUCUUGAGUUCGGGAGAGGAGUGUGGAACUCCGAGUGUAGAGGUGAAAUUCGUAGAUAUUCGGAAGAACACCAGAGGCGAAGGCGGCACUCUGGCCCGAUACUGACGCUGAGGUGCGAAAGCGUGGGGAGCAAACAGGAUUAGAUACCCCGGUAGUCC
rnacentral:rRNA from 1 species